UUCGCAAUGCCCGAAAGGGUGACGAAGCGACGCCGCGUGUGGGAAGAAGGCCUUCGGGUUGUAAACCACUGUCGGGAGUUAGGAAAUGUAAGGGUGCUAAUAGUAUUCUUACUUGACUAAGGCUCCGGAGGAAGCCACGGCUAACUCUGUGCCAGCAGCCGCGGUAAUACAGAGGCGGCAAGCGUUGUUCGGAAUUAUUGGGCGUAAAGAGCACGUAGGCGGCCUUGUAAGUCAGUUGUGAAAGCCUUCUGCUUAACGGAAGAACAGCAGCUGAUACUGCAAGGCUAGAGUGCGGAAGGGGAGAGUGGAACUUCUGGUGGAGCGGUGAAAUGCGUAGAUAUCAGAAGGAACACCGGCGGCGAAGGCGACUCUCUGGUCCGUAACUGACGCUGAGUGUGCGAAAGCUAGGGGAGCAAACGGGAUUAGAUACCCCGGUAGUCCUAGCCGUAAAC
rnacentral:rRNA from 1 species